UACGUAGGUGGCAAGCGUUGUCCGGAUUUACUGGGCGUAAAGGGGCGUGCAGGCGGUUUGUUAAGUGCAGGGUGAAAAGCUCCCGGCUCAACUGGGAGAGGUCCUUGCAUACUGGCGAACUCGAGGGAGGCAGAGGAAAGUGGAAUUCCCGGUGUAGUGGUGAUAUGCGUAGAUAUCGGGAGGAACACCUGUGGCGAAGGCGGCUUUCUGGGCCUUACCUGACGCUGAGACGCGAAAGCGUGGGGAGCGAACCGG
rnacentral:rRNA from 1 species